CUGAUGUUUUCCUUGGCCAUCCAGAAAUCUGCAUCCUGGUGUAGAUAUCAUGAGUUAAUGAUGGAGUCAAGUGUAGAAAUGUGUCUGGGACUUGCAGACCUCUUGCUUUGUGAUACUUUCUUUUAUUUUCUUAACUGGCUGAGAAAAUGGCUGUCACUCCAAGUCUAUCUUCUGAUGGGCUGGUAGCUCUCAUUCAGGCCAUCCACAGCCAGCUGCCUUUCCCCAGACAACCUACAUUGCCUUGAGUCUUCUCUUAAAGCAAAAAGACUAGAGGAGAGGAGUGCUACUUUCUUCUCAGCCUUGCUGUCCCUGUCAUGUAAGGAGGUACUUAAAAAGCAUUCCUAUCCAGUUCUCUCUAUCUGCUCCGUCUUCUCUCCAUGCCCUCAUGGAGUACUUGGUAAAAACAUUUAAGUAGAUGACUUUAUGGAAUAUGAUUCCCCGGUUUUGGAGAAAUAAAAAGAUGAAUCUCAGACAUCAGUAAGGGCCACAUUCUAGUUCAAAUUAUAAGCCUGUACAUAAUCAGUAAAACUAUAUUAGAAAUAAAAGCUUCUCAAAAAUCCCAAGUGCUCGUUACCCAAAAAAUGAUGAUAGACGGGGGUCCCACAAAUGUGUAGUUGUGUAUAUGUCAUAGUAUACGAAGGCCAGGGAAAUACAUAGUGCCACCUGACCUAACCAGCUGUUAAGCAUAAUUACUGUGGUUUUGCCAGAAAGGAAUUCUAAAUGCAGGAAGGUUUGCCAUUAGUGGGCCACAGAACAUGAAAGACUUCCCUGCAAACCUUUUAGAAAAUUUAUGCUAGUUUAUAUUUCAGGAGGUAAUACCCAUUGGAUAUACUCUAAUUUGGGAAACAUGGGAUGAUUAAUGAAUUGAUACAACCUCUAGACCAGGGGAACAGAAGAAAGUUUGGCUUGCAAAAUCACAGGCUCCACCUGGUCAGCGCUUAUCUUCCUUGUUUAGCUCAAGUUAGGUAAGUUUACCUAAUACUCCUUAAAAGGAGUAUUUUAAAUUUAUGUUUGACAUUUAAUGAUUUCAGAUAGUUCUUGGACAUCAGGAUAAACAAAUUCAGUGUAGCACAUACGUAGUAUAAGAAUUCUGUUGAUAUAAUGCCGCAGUCAUAGUUGUAGCCCAUUAUUCCAGGUAAUAAUGAUGCUACAAUUAGAAAGUUUUCCAAUUGUAGUUUUGAUUUGCACAGUAGUAAUUGCUGUUUCUAUUUUCAUAGGCAAGGAGAAUCCACACAUGAAUUAGAGGCUUUCCAUAUUAGGCUUUUUGGAGACAUAGACAUGGUGGUGAUCGCAUGGGGUGUUUGAGAAAAUGGAGACUAAUUGAAUGCAAAGUAUUCUGUGGGGCAAGCAGAGUAAAGAAUCCAGUCAAAUGAUGUCAGCCAAGGAUGGCAAGCCCAUGCCCGAAAAACUGGCAGCAGCUCACCCAUACCAAGCCACCUGAGACAUUUCCUGGGCUGGAAACAACGUUACGGAAAUUGAACUUCCGUGCCAAAUUUACCACACCUCGCCAAAGCCUGGGCACCUCUCUUAUUCAUGGGUGCCUCAGGAGUAAUUACAGCUUUAUAGCAUAUCUACUAAGAACUUUAGUGAAAGUGAAAAGGAGUCGGUAACCUUGAAUUUUAGCAAACUAGAGAAGGAAGAUGUGGGUGUCCUUUCCUCACGCGUUAACAAGGAUGCUGUUAGGUUGUCUAUCUACUCUGAAUCCCUACUUAGGAGGAAAGUCACGUAUCUGGUUGUGCAAAUCAAAGAGCUUUGACAGUUUGUUUUUUGUUUGUUUUUAUUUGGGUGCAAUUUUUCUAGAAGACUAAAUAACCUGUAAAAGAUUAAAAACCAUGAUUGAGUGUGCCUAGAAAUAAAGACCACCCUUGACUGGGCUUUUUCUACCCAAGUCCAAGUGAACUGCUUUAUCCAUUUAGUCAAUACAUAUUCAGUGAUGCUGGUUAUUUACAAAGUAUUUUAUCUACAUUCUGUAUUAAUUCUCAACAGUCCUGUGAGAUCAUUGUUUAUUCUUGUUAAUACACAUAUACGCACACAGAAGAGAGAAGUGGGGAACCCCACAAGCCUUGAGAAUUUCAAGAAUUUGUGGAUUUCAGAAUGGUUGAGCAGCUCAUAGCUUUUCUAACACUGAACUUUUCUCUCUCCAAGUCCCAGUCGCUCGUCAAAAACUGUGCCAUCAGCGCAAGACCCUGUGAUUUCUGUGGUAUUCUAAUUUUAUCUGAGAUUUAUUAGAAUAUAUGAGGUGGAAAAAAAAGUUGUGCAACAGGAGAUUGGACUCUGGCAUCCCACAGCGUAUCUUCCCUGCCAACUUCCUAAUAAAGGGUGAACUCCAAAUAUUAAAAAGUUAUUAACGUGCUUG
rnacentral:lncRNA from 1 species